rnacentral:rRNA from 1 species
AGUGAACGCUGGCGGUAGGCCUAACACAUGCAAGUCGAACGGCAGCACAGUAAGAGCUUGCUCUUACGGGUGGCGAGUGGCGGACGGGUGAGGAAUACAUCGGAAUCUACUUUUUCGUGGGGGAUAACGUAGGGAAACUUACGCUAAUACCGCAUACGACCUACGGGUGAAAGCAGGGGAUCUUCUGACCUUGCGCGAUUGAAUGAGCCGAUGUCGGAUUAGCUAGUUGGCGGGGUAAAGGCCCACCAAGGCGACGAUCCGUAGCUGGUCUGAGAGGAUGAUCAGCCACACUGGAACGGAGACACGGUCCAGACUCCUACGGGAGGCAGCAGUGGGGAAUAUUGGACAAGGGGCGCAAGCCUGAUCCAGCAAUACCGCGUGGGUGAAGAAGGCCUUCGGGUUGUAAAGCCCUUUUGUUGGGAAAGAAAAGCAGCAGGUUAAUACCCCGCUGUUCUGACGGUACCCAAAGAAUAAGCACCGGCUAACUUCGUG